UACGGGGGGAGCAAGCGUUGUUCGGAUUCACUGGGCGUAAAGGGUGCGCAGGCGGCCAAGUGUGUGAGGCGUGAAAGCCCGGGGCUUAACCCCGGAAUUGCACCUCAAACUACAUGGCUAGAGCAUUGGAGAGGGUAGCGGAAUUCACGGUGUAGCAGUGAAAUGCGUAGAUAUCGUGAGGAACACCAGAGGCGAAGGCGGCUACCUGGACAAUUGCUGACGCUCAGGCACGAAAGCGUGGGGAGCAAAAGGG
rnacentral:rRNA from 1 species